AUGCAAGGCUUUUAUGACUUUUGUAAACUGAUUUAUUAUAGGUACAAAUGUAUGAUUGAAUCCCCUUUUACAUUUCAGUGCAACCACUACAUUUCAGCUUUGAAUUCCUUCUGUUUUAAUCAUCUGGCCUUGAGAAUUUACACGCAUUUUGCAAUCUUUUUUCUAAUUUCUAUUUUAAUCAAACUUCAAACUUAUUUUAAAACUAUAAACAGACCGCUUAUUGGAGAGUGA